GACGGAGGGUGCAAGCGUUGUUCGGAAUCAUUGGGCGUAAAGGGCGCGCAGGCGGCCUUUCAAGUCCGGUGUGAAAGCCCGGGGCUUAACUCCGGAAGCGCAUCGGAAACUGGGAGGCUUGAGUCCGAGAGGGGACCGUGGAAUUCCUGGUGUAGGGGUGAAAUCCGUAGAGAUCAGGAGGAACACCGGAGGUGAAAACGACGGUCUGGAUCGGGACUGACGCUGAGGCGCGAAAGCGCGGGUAGCGAACAGG
rnacentral:misc_RNA from 1 species